rnacentral:rRNA from 1 species
UAGGGAAUAUUGCACAAUGGGCGAAAGCCUGAUGCAGCAACGCCGCGUGCGCGAUGAAGGCCCUCGGGUCGUAAAGCGCUUUUCUGCGAGAUGAGAAAGGACAGUAUCGCAGGAAUAAGUCUCGGCUAACUACGUGCCAGCAGCCGCGGUAAAACGUAGGAGGCGAGCGUUAUCCGGAUUCACUGGGCGUAAAGCGCGUGCAGGUGGUUUGGUAAGUUGGGCGUGAAAGCUCCCGGCUCAACUGGGAGAGGUCGUUCAAUACUAUCAGGCUAGAGAGCAGAAGAGGAAGAUGGAAUUCCCGGUGUAGUGGUGAAAUGCGUAGACAUCGGGAGGAACACCAGUGGCGAAGGCGAUCUUCUGGUCUGUUUCUGACACUCAGACGCGACAGCUAGGGUAUAAACGGGAUUAGAAACCCGUUGUAG